rnacentral:rRNA from 1 species
CGUACACUCCUGCGGGAGGCAGCAGUGGGGAAUUUUGGACAAUGGGCGAAAGCCUGAUCCAGCCAUGCCGCGUGCAGGAUGAAGGCCUUCGGGUUGUAAACUGCUUUUGUACGGAACGAAACGGCCUUUUCUAAUAAAGAGGGCUAAUGACGGUACCGUAAGAAUAAGCACCGGCUAACUACGUGCCAGCAGCCGCGGUAAUACGUAGGGUGCAAGCGUUAAUCGGAAUUACUGGGCGUAAAGCGUGCGCAGGCGGUUAUGUAAGACAGUUGUGAAAUCCCCGGGCUCAACCUGGGAACUGCAUCUGUGACUGCAUAGCUAGAGUACGGUAGAGGGGGAUGGAAUUCCGCGUGUAGCAGUGAAAUGCGUAGAUAUGCGGAGGAACACCGAUGGCGAAGGCAAUCCCCUGGACCUGUACUGACGCUCAUGCACGAAAGCGUGGGGAGCAAACAGGAUUAGAAACCCCAGUAGUCCCAUGAU